AGGAAGAAGAGGCAGCUGAAAAUGGAGAAGACAGGAAUGUGGCAUUCUCUAUGGCUGCCUGCCUCUGAGACCAGGAUGCUUCAGCGACAUCAGCUAAGUCUCCUGUCUCCAACUGUGACGGCAGGUACAAGCCACUGGUGGAUAGCAGAGAGAUGCAUCUGGCUUGCUGGGGAAGGGGGAGGAUUGGAAGAGCCAAAGAACCACAGCCAUUCUCAGAAAUUCCGUAACUGGUUCUCCUCUCCAAAGGCAUUCAUUCACCUAGAGAGAGAGAGAUGUUUUUGUCACUUGCCUCCAUACCUCAGUCAUUUCCCGUUGUGCUGCUUUCUUUGCAGUUUCUCUCUCAGUUUGAAACUGCUUUCUUAGAGCAUCUAUGCGUUCAGCAUGCAACUCGGCUUCCAUUUUGGAUUCUUCAUUCAUCCGUUCUCUGUUUUGAAAAAGAUGAUAAACCACCUUUAGAAAUCAUCUUAGGAGGAAACAAGAAAUGAGAGAACAUGGCUCAUGGAGGUUUUGGAAGCGCUUCAUCUCAGUAACUGACUGCAGGAAGGACUGAUGCCAUGCCUUCUUGUUCUCCCUGUCCUCCAAAGCCUCGA